GGUCUGGAGCCGGAGAGGGCGAAGCCUCUUGAGUCCAGCCUACCCCAGCCCUGCUUCAGAGACUAGGCCUCUCAGGGCCCUGGGCAGCACAGUGUAGGGUGGGAUGACCGGCCAGAGAUGGACCAUAACCAUGAAAAGAGAUAGUAUGCAUAUUAUCAUUGAGAAGAGGAAAGCAGCAAUGCCUGUGUUGUGUUCCUGUGGCUCCAGAAUGGGAUUUUUUACCAGCAAAUGAGAGUGCAUGAGUUGCUCUAUUCAUUCCACAACUCGUUACUGCCCACCCGGUAUGUGCCAAGCAUUAAGCAAGGUCUUCAAGGAGUUUGUGGAAAGAAAAAGAGGGCUCGCCAGCCAGCGGCUGGGCAAUCACAGCCCAAUCCCUUAAUGCAAUGAACUUACAGGCCUUCUUUUACACAAGUGCCCCCUUCACAAAGUGAAGCACCUGUGGUCGGCCGGAGAAGAGGGGCCCCGUGAUACUCAGGAAACGAAAGAGGAGACUUCGUGAUACUCAGCAGAAGAGGGGACGAUUGGCCUGGCAGUCCUAGGUCAACAAACCUCACAAAGGCGAGAUGAAGGGUGUCCUAGUAUUUAUUCAUUAACAUAUGUUAGGGACCGGUCAAUCUUUGGAGAUCUUUUCUCCAAGGGUAGGGCUGUCUUAUUAGGGAAGUGCUGUGACGCCCAGGUGGCUCAGCAGUUGAGCGACUGCCUUCCACCCAGGGUGUGAUCCUGGAGUCCCAGGGUCAAGUCCCACGUCGGGCUCUCUGCAUGGAGCCUGCUUCUCCCUCUGCCUCUGUCUCUGCCUCUCUCUUUGGGUCUCUCAUGAAUAAAUAAAUAAAAUCUUAAAAAAAAAAAAGAGGGGCUGAUGCCUCCGCCAUCAGGCUAUUCUCUGGCAGGCCAGCUGGCGGUCGGUCUGUAAGUGUUUGCAUUAAGAAGGGAACUGUGGGAACGGAAAGGAAAGCUGGAGGUGAAGAGACUUCCAAGGAGUGAGCCUGUAGAGCCAAGGAUGUCCUGUUUCUUAUUACACUGAGAAAAUAAAAGCUAUUUGAAAAGAA